rnacentral:rRNA from 1 species
GACGAACGCUGGCGGCGUGCUUAACACAUGCAAGUCGAACGGAAAGGCCCUGCUUUUGUGGGGUGCUCGAGUGGCGAACGGGUGAGUAACACGUGAGUAACCUGCCCUUGACUUUGGGAUAACUUCAGGAAACUGGGGCUAAUACCGGAUAGGAGCUCCUGCUGCAUGGUGGGGGUUGGAAAGUUUCGGCGGUUGGGGAUGGACUCGCGGCUUAUCAGCUUGUUGGUGGGGUAGUGGCUUACCAAGGCUUUGACGGGUAGCCGGCCUGAGAGGGUGACCGGCCACAUUGGGACUGAGAUACGGCCCAGACUCCUACGGGAGGCAGCAGGGGGGAGUAUUGCACAAUGGGCGCAAGCCUGAUGCAGCAACGCCGCGUGCGGGAUGACGGCCUUCGGGUUGUAAACCGCUUUCGCCUGUGACGAAGCGUGAGUGACGGUAAUGGGUAAAGAAGCACCGGCUAACUACGUG